rnacentral:rRNA from 1 species
CAAUAGCGUAUAUUAAAGUUGUUGCAGUUAAAAAGCUCGUAGUUGGAUUUCUGAUCGAGACAUCAGGUCGGGUCCGAGAGGAUCAUGUACUUUGAUUUUGUUUUGAUCAUCCUUGGGGAGAGCAUUUCUGGCAUUCAGUUGUCGGGAUUGGGAUCCUCAUCGUUUACUGUGAAAAAAUUAGAGUGUUCAAAGCAGGCCUCGGCCUCUGAAUACAUUAGCAUGGAAUAAUAAGAUAGGACUUUGGUGGUCUAUUUUGUUGGUUUGCACGCCAAAGUAAUGAUUAAUAGGGAUAGUUGGGGUAUUCGUAUUCAAUUGUCAGAGGUGAAAUUCUUGGAUUUAUGGAAGACGAACUACUGCGAAAGCAUUUACCAAGGAUGUUUUCAUUAA